GUAAAGGCUCACCAAGCCGACGAUCUGUAGCUGGUCUGAGAGGACGACCAGCCACACUGGGACUGAGACACGGCCCAGACUCCUACGGGAGGCAGCAGUGGGGAAUUUUGGACAAUGGGCGCAAGCCUGAUCCAGCCAUGCCGCGUGCAGGAUGAAGGCCUUCGGGUUGUAAACUGCUUUUGUACGGAACGAAAAGGUUUGGCCUAAUACGCUGAACUCAUGACGGUACCGUAAGAAUAAGCACCGGCUAACUACGUGCCAGCAGCCGCGGUAAU
rnacentral:rRNA from 1 species